CCAAGUCAAUUGGUAACAGCUUGU
rnacentral:siRNA from 1 species